rnacentral:rRNA from 1 species
UACGAAGGGGGCUAGCGUUGCUCGGAAUGACUGGGCGUAAAGGGCGCGUAGGCGGUUCGUACAGUCAGACGUGAAAUUCCCGGGCUCAACCUGGGGGCUGCGUUUGAUACGUACGGGCUUGAGUUCGGAAGAGGGUCGUGGAAUUCCCAGUGUAGAGGUGAAAUGCGUAGAGAUCGGGAGGAACACCAGAGGCGAAGGCGGCGACCUGGACAGCGACUGACACUCAACUGCGAAAGCGUGGGGAGCAAACAGG